UACGUAGGGGGCAAGCGUUGUCCGGAUUUAUUGGGCGUAAAGAGCGUGUAGGCGGCCAGACAAGUCUGCUGUGAAACUCGAGGCUCAACCUCGAGCUGUCGGUGGAAACUGUCUGGCUAGAGUCCGGAAGAGGAGAGUGGAAUUCCUGGUGUAGCGGUGAAAUGCGCAGAUAUCAGGAAGAACACCCGUGGCGAAGGCGGCUCUCUGGGACGGUACUGACGCUGAGACGCGAAAGCGUGGGGAGCGAACAGG
rnacentral:rRNA from 1 species